AACGAACGCUGGCGGCACGUUUUAAGCAUGCAAGUCGAAUGGCAGCAGGGGCAACUCUGUGAGAAUGGCGAACGGGUGAGUAACACGUAGGUGAUCUACCUUGAGGAUGGGGAUAGCCUGUGGAAACACAGGGUAAUACCGAAUAAGCUGACGGGACUUUGGUUUUGUUAGUAAAGGUGCUACGGCACCGCCUUGAGAGGAGCCUGCGGCUGAUUAGCUAGUUGGUGGGGGAAAGGCCUACCAAGGCGACGAUCAGUAGCCGGCCUGAGAGGGUGUACGGCCGCACUGGGACUGAGACACGGCCCAGACGCCUACGGGAGGCAGCAGCUAAGAAUCUUCCGCAAUGGGCGAAAGCCUGACGGAGCGAUGCCGCGUGAUCGAUGAAGGUCGAGAGAUUGUAAAGAUCUUUUCUACAUGAGGAAUAAGUCUGGGAGGGAAUGCCUGGAUGAUGACGUUAGUGUAGGAAUAAGCCCCGGCUAAUUACGUGCCAGCCGCCGCAGUAA
rnacentral:rRNA from 1 species